rnacentral:rRNA from 1 species
CGCGUGGGAACCUACCUUUUAGUACGGGACAACGUUUGGAAACGAACGCUAAUACCGUAUACGCCCUCCGGGGGAAAGGUCAGCCGCUAAAAGAGGGGCCCGCGUCUGAUUAGCUUGUUGGUAAGGUAAUGGCUUACCAAGGCGACGAUCAGUAGCUGGUCUGAGAGGAUGAUCAGCCACACUGGGACUGAGACACGGCCCAGACUCCUACGGGAGGCAGCAGUGGGGAAUAUUGGACAAUGGAGGCAACUCUGAUCCAGCAAUGCCGCGUGUGUGAUGAAGGCCCUAGGGUUGUAAAGC